rnacentral:snRNA from 3 species
AUACUUUUCUCGGCCUUUUGGUUAAGAUCAAAUGUAGUAUCUGUUCUUAUCAGUUUAAUAUUUGACUAGCAAAUAUGCAUGUGCGUUGUAAUGGGAGACAAAAAAAAUUAUGGCUAACCAAAU